rnacentral:pre_miRNA from 14 species
UGGGGAGCUUGGAUCCAGUCCUUCUCAAAUCUUUUUGCGGUCUGGGCUUGCUGUAUGUAAAUACCUAGCCGGGAAGCCCUUACCCCAAAAAGCAUUUGCGGAGGGCGCAGUCGGCGGCGACAGCG